rnacentral:rRNA from 1 species
GACGAACGCUGGCGGCGUGCCUAAUACAUGCAAGUCGAGCGAGCUUGCCUAGAUGAUUUCAGUGCUUGCACUAAAUGAAACUAGAUACAAGCGAGCGGCGGACGGGUGAGUAACACGUGGGUAACCUGCCCAAGAGACUGGGAUAACACCUGGAAACAGAUGCUAAUACCGGAUAACAACACUAGACGCAUGUCUAGAGUUUGAAAGAUGGUUCUGCUAUCACUCUUGGAUGGACCUGCGGUGCAUUAGCUAGUUGAUAAGGUAACGGCUUACCAAGGCAAUGAUGCAUAGCCGAGUUGAGAGACUGAUCGGCCACAUUGGGACUGAGACACGGCCCUAACUCCUACGGGAGGCAGCAGUAGGGAAUCUUCCACAAUGGACGAAAGUCUGAUGGAGCAACGCCGCGUGAGUGAAGAAGGGUUUCGGCUCGUAAAGCACUGUUGGUAGUGAAGAAAGAUAGAGGUAGUAACUGGCCUUUAUUUGACGGUAAUUACUUAGAAAGUCACGGCUAACUAC